rnacentral:rRNA from 1 species
AUUGAACGCUGGCGGCAGGCUUAACACAUGCAAGUCGAACGAGCGGCGGCCGGGUGAGUAAUGUCUGGGAAACUGCCUGAUGGAGGGGGAUAACUACUGGAAACGGUAGCUAAUACCGAUUACCAUAGGAUGUGCCCAGCGGGGAUUAGCUGGUUGGUGGGGUAAUGGUUCACCAAGGCGACGAUCCCGAGCUGGUCUGAGAGGAUGACAAGCCAAACGUGAACUGAGACACGGUCCAGACUCCGACGGGAGGAAGGAGGGGGGAAGAGUGCACUAUGGGCGCAAGCCUGAUGCAGCCAUGCCGCGGGAGUGAAGAAGGCCUUCGGGUUGUAAGGCACUGUCAGCGAGGAGGGGUUACUCGCAGAAGAAGCACCGGCUAACUCCGUGCCAGCAGCCGCGGUAAUUC